rnacentral:sRNA from 1 species
GCCAGGUGCGGUGGUGCAUGCCUAUGAUCCUAGCGGCUUGGAGGCUGAGGCAGGAGGAUUGGGAGUUCAAAGCCAGCCUCAGCAACAACAAGGUGCUAAGCAACUCGGUGAGACCCUGUCUCUA